UUGUUGAUAUGGUGUUAAGAAUUUGGGAAGUAGAAACAUUCUAAAAUCCAAGAGUUAAAUCUCAGUUUUUAGUUAGCUUGAAUCACUGGGCUGCGGCUCAGAAGCACUUCAUACCUUCCCCCCACCACCACCUUUUUUUCUCUCUUUACAUAAGACAGAAUGGAUAGAGGGAUAAGGAGUUGUCUAACUGCCCUUCCGCAGGUCACAUAAUGCUCUGAUAAUAUUGUCUCCCCUGGAUGGUAAACUUUCAUUAUGGAGACAGCUCUGGGCAUAUUUCAAAAUGGUUACUUAUAUUCUAAGUAUAUUUCAAAAUGGGAACUUUUCUCCUCUGUACUAAAUACUAGGGAGAUAUUUCUGCAACUCUCAGUGAGUACCUUGUAAGGUUACUAAAGAUAAAACCCAUAAAAAUUUAGGACCACCACUAGGACUGGACCCCAGGAGUCUCUAUCUGUCAAGCCAGUGCACAUUCAGCCUUCAGAAAUUCAUCAAAAUUACCAGUUAAGUGUUUCUACCAGUUACUGGCUCCAGCCACAUCAGCUCCAGGCCUGCUUGUCUACCUAUUGUCAGCACCUGUGCCUCUUUGCAUAAGACCUUUGGUGUCUUGUCAAAGAAGAAUGCACUACCUAUGUGAAUUCUAAGCCAGAUACUGGGGACAUAGAAAUGCUUCCCCAUCAGCCCAACCAAGGAGUGGCAGAAGCUGGUGCAUAAUCUGGCAGCUCCAUUAUUCAUUUGGUAGACUUAUUCUGAGGUGUUUGUUCCUUACUACCUCCUAAAUAUUAUAACAUGAUUGACAAUUUA